ACCGCCCGUCCCCGCCCCUUGCCUCUCGGCGCCCCCUCGAUGCUCUUAGCUGAGUGUCCCGCGGGGCCCGAAGCGUUUACUUUGAAAAAAUUAGAGUGUUCAAAGCAGGCCCGAGCCGCCUGGAUACCGCAGCUAGGAAUAAUGGAAUAGGACCGCGGUUCUAUUUUGUUGGUUUUCGGAACUGAGGCCAUGAUUAAGAGGGACGGCCGGGGGCAUUCGUAUUGCGCCGCUAGAGGUGAAAUUCUUGGACCGGCGCAAGACGGACCAGAGCGAAAGCAUUUGCCAA
rnacentral:rRNA from 1 species